UAGUCAGGGGGCGUGCGUUAAUAGGAAUUACUGGGCGUAAAGCGUGCGCAGGCGGCUCUAUAAGACAGAUGUGAAAUCCCCGGGCUUAACCUGGGAACUGCGUUUGUGACUGUAGGGCUUGAGCGCGGCAGAAGGGGGUGGAAUUCCACGUGUAGCAGUGAAAUGCGUAGAGAUGUGGAGGAACACCGAUGGCGAAGGCAGCCCCCUGGGUCGACACCGACGCCCAUGCACGAAAGCGUGGGGAGCAAACAGG
rnacentral:rRNA from 1 species